rnacentral:rRNA from 1 species
AACUGCAGUCGAACGAUGACCCCGUGMUUGCACGGGUGAUUAGUGGCGAACGGGUGAGUAACACGUGAGUAACCUGCCCCCGACUUUGGGAUAAGCCCGGGAAACUGGGUCUAAUACCGGAUAUGACUUCUUACCGCAUGGUGGGUUGUUGAAAGAUUUAUCGGUGGGGGAUGGACUCGCGGCCUAUCAGCUUGUUGGUGAGGUAAUGGCUCACCAAGGCGACGACGGGUAGCCGGCCUGAGAGGGUGACCGGCCACACUGGGACUGAGACACGGCCCAGACUCCUACGGGAGGCAGCAGUGGGGAAUAUUGCACAAUGGGCGAAAGCCUGAUGCAGCGACGCCGCGUGAGGGAUGACGGCCUUCGGGUUGUAAACCUCUUUCAGUAGGGAAGAAGCGAAAGUGACGGUACCUGCAGAAGAAGCGCCGGCUAACUACGUGCCAGCAGCCGCGGUAAUACGUAGGGCGCAAGCGUUAUCCGGAUUUAUUGGGCGUAAAGAGCUCGUAGGCGGUUUGUCGCGUCUGCCGUGAAAGUCCGAGGCUCAACCUCGGAUCUGCGGUGGGUACGGGCAGACUAGAGUGAUGUAGGGGAGACUGGAAUUCCUGGUGUAGCGGUGAAAUGCGCAGAUAUCAGGAGGAACACCGAUGGCGAAGGCAGGUCUCUGGGCAUUUACUGACGCUGAGGAGCGAAAGCAUGGGGAGCGAACAGGAUUAGAUACCCUGGUAGUCCAUGCCGUAAACGUUGGGCACUAGGUGUGGGGGACAUUCCACGUUUUCCGCGCCGUAGCUAACGCAUUAAGUGCCCCGCCUGGGGAGUACGGCCGCAAGGCUAAAACUCAAAGGAAUUGACGGGGGCCCGCACAAGCGGCGGAGCAUGCGGAUUAAUUCGAUGCAACGCGAAGAACCUUACCAAGGCUUGACAUGUGCCAGACCGCCUCAGAGAUGGGGUUUCCCUUCGGGGCUGGUUCACAGGUGGUGCAUGGUUGUCGUCAGCUCGUGUCGUGAGAUGUUGGGUUAAGUCCCGCAACGAGCGCAACCCUCGUUCCAUGUUGCCAGCACGUAGUGGUGGGGACUCAUGGGAGACUGCCGGGGUCAACUCGGAGGAAGGUGGGGAUGACGUCAAAUCAUCAUGCCCCUUAUGUCUUGGGCUUCACGCAUGCUACAAUGGCCGGUACAAUGGGUUGCGAUACUGUGAGGUGGARCUAAUCCCUAAAAGCCGGUCUCAGUUCGGAUUGGGGUCUGCAACUCGACCCCAUGAAGUCGGAGUCGCUAGUAAUCGCAGAUCAGCAACGCUGCGGUGAAUACGUUCCCGGGCCUUGUACACACCGCCCGUCAAGUCACGAAAGUUGGUAACACCCGAAGCCGAUGGCU